rnacentral:lncRNA from 1 species
UGGAUCCCACGCUUGGAAGAAAAUGCUUCAAUGUAGGGACUUGAUCGAGCAUCAAAUCUACUGGAAAUUGAGAAUGGGAUCUUGCAAGAAAUUAAAUCCUAUAAUUGUACCGUGGAAGGGUGGAUCCCACGUUUGGAAGAAAAUGCUUCAAUGCAGGGACUUGAUCGAGCAUCAAAUCUACUGAAAAUUGAGAAUAGGAUCAGCUCAAUUCUGGUUCGACAAUUGGACAGAGAUGGGAGCACUAUAUUUCCAAAUUCCAGAACAGCUCGCCAUUGAUGAAGACAUUCACAAUGUCAAUGAUAUGAUUGAAAAUGGUAUAUGGAACGUGGAAAAAUUAUUUCAGACUCUACCUGAAGAGUGGGCUAACCACAUUGUGCAGAAUAUUAGACCCCCAAAAGAAUGUGCAGAGUUAGAUACACAUUUCUGGAUGCUUGAAGAAAGGGGACAUGUGCUGAUCCUAAGCAGGAGUCUUUAGUUCAUUUAUUCCUUACAUUAAAUGCAGCUAAGAGUGUCUGGAAUUAUUUCUUAAAGAGAGCAGGAAUUCAAAUAGAAGGGUUGUCUUUACAUCAAGCAAUUACAAAAUGCUGGACGACUUCAGCCAUACCUAGAUUGAAGUCAGUCUUCCAAGCUCUACCUGCAUGCAUUGUAUGGGAGUUAUGGAAGCCAACUUGAUGAUUUCUUGCGUAGAAUAGGAUACUCCAUCGCAUCUAAAUGUUGGUGAUGUGCUGAUCCUAAGGAGGAGUCUUUAGUUCAUUUAUUCUUCACUUCAAAUGCAGCUAAGAGUGUCUGGAGUUAUUUCCUAAAGAGAGCAGGAAUUCAAAUAGAAGGGUUGUCUAUACAUCAAGCAAUUACAAAAUGCUGGACGACUUUAGUUAUACCUAGAUUGAAGUCAGUCUUCCAAGCUUUACCUGCAUGCAUUGUAUAGGAGUUAUGGAAGAGAAGAAAUAGUUUGAAAUAUGGAGAAGCAGUGUCAGUUAGCAGAGUUAUUUACCAAGUUUCAUCAACGCUGCAAUCACUAGUUCAACUGAAAAAACCAGGAUUACAUGUUCCUCACAAAUGGCUUGACUUACUGACAAUGAUGGAGCCAUACACACCUUGACUGAAGUUCGAUAAAGUGCUAUGGGAAUUUCCCCCAAGAGGAUGGAUAAAAGUAAAUACGGAUGGAGCAUGCAGAGGGAAUCCAGGGAGAAGUUCAAUUGGAUUUUGUUUAAGAGAUGAAAUAGGUGACUUGAUAUAUGCAGAAGCAAGAGAAAUUAAGGAGGGCUCUAACAAUGAAGCUGAGGCAACGGCAAUAGUAGAGGCAAUGAGAAUGUGCAAAUCAAUGAACUUCAACAAUGUUUGGCUUGAGACAGAUUCAAUGAUGCUCCAAAUAAUAAUAGAUGAUGAGGCAAUAGCAAUAGUAGAGGCAAUGAGAAUGUGCAAAUCAAUGAACUUCAAUAAUGU